rnacentral:sRNA from 1 species
AGAAAAUAUCAACGGCCUCUC